AUGUCUGAAUAUUUGCAGAGGACAUUCACUUCUACAGCAGGGUUUGCAGAGGGGUUCACUUCUUCAGCUCCGAAUUCUGUUUGCUGUUACAUCCUUCGCAGAGGGGUCGCCGAGGUGCUGCUUGGUUGUUAUGCCAAGUGCAUUGAUCUCUUGAGGGAGAAAGAGCGCGACAUCUGGAAUGCCAUCAAGUUUGGUUCUGUGCUGGAAAAUGUCAUAUUCGAUAAGCGUACACGAGAGGUGGAUUAUAAUGAUGGUUCUAUUACUGAGAAUACUCGUGCAGCCUAUCCCAUUGAGUACAUCCCAAAUGCCAAGAUACCAUGCGUUGGUCCUCACCCAAAGAAUGUGAUACUUUUAGCAUGUGAUGCAUUUGGUGUACUCCCACCUGUGAGCAAGUUAAACUUGGCACAGACCAUGUGCCAUUUCAUCAGUGGCUAUACUGCUCGGGUUGCUGGAACCGAAGAGGGUGUGAAGGAGCCAAGGGCAACAUUCUCGGCUUGCUUUGGUGCUGCGUUUUUGAUGUUGCAUCCUACCAAGUAUGCAGCAGUGUUGGCUGAGAAGAUGCAGAAGCAUGGUGCAACUGCAUGGCUAGUUAACAUGGGAUGGUCUGGUGGAAGGUAUGGAACGGGAAAGCACAUUAAGCUAUCUUACACCCGGAAAAUCAUUUGUUGCCAUACACUCUGGCAGCCUUUGGAAUGCAAAUUACAAGAAUGAAGUUUUUGGACUUGAGAUCCCCACUGAGAUUGAGGGAGUGCCUUCAGAGAUGCUGGAUCCGGUGAAUACUGAAUACUGUAAGUAACUUUGGUCGGACAAGAAGGCAUACCAGGAAACACUUCUAAAGUUGGCUGGCCUAUUCAAAUCCAACUUCGAGACUUUCACCAACUACAAGAUUGGCAAGGACAACAAGCUGACAGGAGACAUCCUCGCUGGUCCGAAUUUCUAAAAAAGUUUUAAUGGUUGUGGUAGAGAAUAAGAUUGAGUGUAGUCUUUGUUUUUUUUUGGUGGUUGAAAUAAUAUUCUGUUCAAUAGGAGUAGUCGUUUUAUUGUUGAGAGGUUGAGCAAAAUGAUCAUAUGUAGCGCAGGGCGUGUUUCUAAUACAUUGAAAAAAUCGUUUUCUUCUUUCUUAUCUCUUACCCUCGUUCAAGCCGCUACUUUAGGUUAACAAAGUAGAAUAAAUUGGAAUACUUCAAACCCAACUUUCAGAAGUUCUAUCAAAACAAAAUUAAAAGGCAGGGAUAUAUAUAAGAGCCUAAAAGAUUACCAAAUCAAUUUGCUCAAGGGGGAUUUGGCAAGAGCACAAUUUCACAAUAUCCUGCUUAUUACAAGAUUACAAGUUGAAAGUUUGAAUUAGGGUAAAAUAUUGUAUAAUCCUGCUGGUUUAAAGUCGACAUCUGUUUAGUCCCCCUUAUGAUUUUAUUUUAAUCUGAAUAGUCUUUAAAGUCAUGAUUUUUCAUCCAAAUAGUCCUCAACAGAUGUUGACUUCAAACCACAAGAACUAAACAAAUUUCAAUUCUUUGAAUUAUAAGGGAUAGAGCCAGCAUCUAUAUUAUAGAUUAUAGUUGUUUGAUGUCAUGCCACCAAGGUCUAGAAUCACAUCUCAAAAUAGCCUCAUAUGUUAUUGGCCCCAAUCCAUCGGAUGUCUGCGAAGGGUUGUAAUCGGCCGUAAUCUAAAAAGAAACGAACUGAUGAAACCCCUAAAAUCUCACAGAUUGAACACCCCAACCCCAGUAGG